rnacentral:snRNA from 1 species
GUACUUACCUGGCAGGGGAGAUAGGAUCACAAAAGUGGUUUUCCCAGGGUGAGGCUUAUCCAUUGACUCCAAAUGUGCUGACCCUUGGAAUUUCCCCAGAUGUGGGAAAUCUGACUGCAUAAUUUGUGGUGGGGGGGGCUCUUAUUCGUGUGUUCCCCUA